GGAAGUAAAAGUCGUAACAAGGUUUCCGUAGGUGAACCUGCGGAAGGAUCAUUAAUGAAUUCACUAUGGAGUUGUUGCUGGCCUCUAGGGGCAUGUGCACGCUUCACUAGUCUUUCAACCACCUGUGAACUUUUGAUAGAUCUGUGAAGUCGUCUCUCAAGUCGUCAGACUUGGUUGCUGGGAUUUAAACGUCUCGGUGUGACUACGCAGUCUAUUUACUUACACACCCCAAAUGUAUGUCUACGAAUGUCAUUUAAUGGGCCUUGUGCCUUUAAACCAUAAUACAACUUUCAACAACGGAUCUCUUGGCUCUCGCAUCGAUGAAGAACGCAGCGAAAUGCGAUAAGUAAUGUGAAUUGCAGAAUUCAGUGAAUCAUCGAAUCUUUGAACGCACCUUGCGCCCCUUGGUAUUCCGAGGGGCAUGCCUGUUUGAGUGUCAUUAAAUUCUCAAACUCACUUUGGUUUCUUUCCAAUUGUGAUGUUUGGAUUGUUGGGGGCUGCUGGCCUUGACAGGUCGGCUCCUCUUAAAUGCAUUAGCAGGACUUCUCAUUGCCUCUGCGCAUGAUGUGAUAAUUAUCACUCAUCAAUAGCACGCAUGAAUAGAGUCCAGCUCUCUAAUCGUCCGCAAGGACAAUUUGACAAUUUGACCUCAAAUCAGGUAGGACUACCCGCUGAACUUAAGCAUAUCAAUAAGCGGAGGA
rnacentral:rRNA from 1 species